GCGCUUUGGCAGCACAUACACUAAAUUUGGAAUGAUACAGAGAAUAUUAGCAUGGCCCUUGUGCAAGGAUGACACACAAAUUCAUAAAGCAUUCCAUAUUUUU
rnacentral:snRNA from 1 species